GCUCUCCCCGGGGCGGUUGCUCGCACCGCUCUCCGCUCUCCGCGUUUCGCCGCCGGGCAGCCCCCGGUUCACCCCCGGUUUCGGACCCUCAACCAGACCUACGGCAGCAGAGCCCCCACGGUGCACGAGCUGCCGAACUCCUUCCACUCCA